rnacentral:rRNA from 1 species
AACGAACGCUGGCGGCAGGCUUAACACAUGCAAGUCGAACGGUUGCAGCAAUGCAGCAGUGGCAGACGGGUGAGUAACACGUGGGAACCUUCCUAGGGGUACGGAACAACUCAGGGAAACUUGAGCUAAUACCGUAUACGUCCGUGAGGAGAAAGAUUUAUCGCCCUUAGACGGGCCCGCGUCGGAUUAGCUAGUUGGUGGGGUAACGGCCUACCAAGGCGACGAUCCGUAGCUGAUCUUAGAGGAUGAUCAGCCACACUGGGACUGAGACACGGCCCAGACUCCUACGGGAGGCAGCAGUGGGGAAUCUUGGACAAUGGGCGCAAGCCUGAUCCAGCCAUGCCGCGUGAGUGAAGAAGGUCUUCGGAUUGCAAAGCUCUUUUGCCAGGGACGAUAAUGACGGUACCUGGAGAAUAAGCCUCGGCAAACUUCGUGCCAGCCGCCGCAGUAA